rnacentral:tRNA from 1 species
UAUAGCUUAGUGGUAGAGUGCUUGCCUAACAUGCAUGAAACCUUGGGUUCGAUUCCUCAGUA